UUGGAGCCAGGAGAGAGAGAAGCGGCGUGGGACACAGAAAUGCAGAGGGAGAGAGAGAGAGGUGGAUGCAGAGAAAGAAAUAGAGAGAGAGAGAGAGAGCGGGGGCGGGGGUGACCACGGAUCUCUUAAAAGAAAGCAGGCAGGGUUUUUUAGAAUGGUGCUGUCGUUUUGAAGCAGAUGGUGAACUUCUUUUGAAGAAAAUCAGAUGGGUGCGUCUAAAUCAGAUGGGUGCAGAAUGGUGCUGUCGUUUUGAAGCAGAUGGUGAACUUCUUUUGAAGAAAAUCAGAUGGGUGCGUCACAUGCAUCCUUUGGAUGCAUAACGC
rnacentral:lncRNA from 1 species